rnacentral:lncRNA from 1 species
AGAGGAGCCAGCUCUCUGGUUUCUACUGAAAUGUUUCUAGCAUUAAACAAACAUUGGAGGAAACACAAACAUCUGUCUGGAAGCGAAGCCUGGAGCUCGUGAAUUCCAGGGCUGGCUGUGGCCCCUGCCUCUGAUUUCCUGUGUGGGCCAGGACAAUUGGCUUCUUCUCUCUGUGUCUUAGGUGAGCUGGCUCUCCUUCCUGGCUCCUACCCUUAACCCUGGCCACAUGGUGGGAUUAGGAGGGCAGAUGCAAUUGGAAAGUAGGAGGAAGUGUCUCAUUCCACGGUGGCACCAGGCAGAAGUGGGCAGGAGAGAUGUUUACCCUGCCAGGCCUCAUAAAGUCAUCUUUCUCAGCAAACCACCAUUUAUUAACCCCUUCUCUUCUCCAGUCACUCAGCUACACUAAUGCACGAGAAUGCUCAGACGACAUGGUAUCUCUUAGGAUGAUCUAUAUCUUAAGGGCAAAUGCAGCCAUUGCUGAAGAAUUGGGUAGGUGAAAUCAUUCAUUGAACCUGUGCAUUUGGUUUCACCAUGUUUUCACGUGUUUCUAGAUAGCUAGGUUCAGCUAAUGUACAACAGGACAUGCCCUGUUAGCUUGCUAAUAGCUGGGAUUAAUGUGGAGAUUCAGUGUUUCCUGCAAGCCCAAAGCAUUGAUAGCCUAUUCCAAAUUUUCAACCCUCUUCUUGGUAUAUAGAGCUUGAUAUACCAACAUUAAUAUCUUGGUUUAUAUUGAAAGCCAAAUUUGCAUCUAGCCUAUGCUCACCUUUAAUCCAUUAUCAAGCACUAGCAUUGCUUUGCACAUAAUAGAUGUUCAAUAGCUACUUAAUGACUCAAUGAAUUAAUUAAUGUUACAAUUCAGAAGCUGGUUGCAACACUGUAUGUGCGCGUGUGCCUGUCAUCAUUCUAACACUUGAGAGCUAGGAGGGACCUUAGAAUCCUUUGCUUUAGCACCUUAUUCAACACAAGGUGAACCUGAGGCUCAGGGAGAAGGGGCUUGCCCCAAGCUACAGUACAGUCAGAACAGGACUCUGAGACCACUCAGUUUGAUGCUUUUUCUUCAUUCCUUUCUGCACCCCUCUCCACCCCUCAUAACCAACCGUUCCCUUUUCCUCAUGCUCCAGUGGAGAGUCCAAGCAACGUUCCUGAAAUCAUGAGGAGCUCUGCCAGGCGCCUCAGCCUGCACAGAGACAGCUCUGCACUGCCUUU